AACAGAGGUCUCAAGCGUUGUUCGGAUUCAUUGGGCGUAAAGGGUGCGUAGGCGGCGCGGUAAGUCGGGUGUGAAAUCUCGGGGCUUAACUCCGAAACUGCAUUCGAUACUGCCGUGCUUGAGGACUGGAGAGGAGACUGGAAUUUACGGUGUAGCGGUGAAAUGCGUAGAUAUCGUAAGGAAGACCAGUGGCGAAGGCGGGUCUCUGGACAGUUCCUGACGCUGAGGCACGAAGGUCAGGGGAGCAAACGGG
rnacentral:rRNA from 1 species